rnacentral:lncRNA from 1 species
AAGACCAUUCUCAGCAAUCAGACUGUCGUCAUUCCUGAAAACGUCAACAUCACUCUGAAGGGGCACAUAGUCAUUGUGAAGGGCCCCAGGGGGACUCUGCCGAGGGACUUCAAUCACAUCAACUGAGUGGAGCUGAGUCUUCUUGGAAAGAAAAAGAAAAGGCUCCGGUUGACAAAUGGUGGGGUAACAGAAAGAAACUGGCCACGGUCAGGACCGUCUGUAGUCAUGUUCACGGGUGUUACACUGGGCUUCCGUUACAAGAUGAGGUUUGUAUACGCUCACUUCCCCAUCGACGUCGUUAUCCAGGAGAAUGGGUCUUUGGUUGAAAUCCGAAAUUUCUUGGAUGAAAAAUCCAUCCGCAGGGUUCGGGUGAGGCCAGGUGCUGCUUGUUCUAUCUCUCAAGCCCAGAAGGAUGAGUGAAUCCUUGAAGGAAAUGAUGCUGAACUUGUUUCAAAUUCAGCCGCUCUGAUUCACCAAGCCACCGCAGUUAAAAACAAGGAUCUCAGGAAGUUUUUGGAUGGCAUCUAUGUAUCCAAGAAGGGAACCAUGUAGCAGGCUGACAAGUGA